rnacentral:rRNA from 1 species
GAUGAACGCUGGCGGCGUGCCUAAUACAUGCAAGUCGAGCGAACAGAUGAGGAGCUUGCUCCUCUGACGUUAGCGGCGGACGGGUGAGUAACACGUGGAUAACCUACCUAUAAGACUGGGAUAACUUCGGGAAACCGGAGCUAAUACCGGAUAAUAUAUUGAACCGCAUGGUUCAAUAGUGAAAGACGGUUUUGCUGUCACUUAUAGAUGGAUCCGCGCCGCAUUAGCUAGUUGGUAAGGUAACGGCUUACCAAGGCAACGAUGCGUAGCCGACCUGAGAGGGUGAUCGGCCACACUGGAACUGAGACACGGUCCAGACUCCUACGGGAGGCAGCAGUAGGGAAUCUUCCGCAAUGGGCGAAAGCCUGACGGAGCAACGCAGCGUGAGUGAUGAAGGUCUUCGGAUCGUAAAACUCUGUUAUUAGGGAAGAACAAAUGUGUAAGUAACUAUGCACGUCUUGACGGUACCUAAUCAGAAAGCCACGGCUAACUACGUG